AUGACGAACAGAUUAAGUGCACACACAUCAUUGAAUUAAACUUUUCAAGCAAAUAUCCUGGGUCUGUUACUUAGCUUACAACUAUGUAGGUUCAUUUGUUCUGCCCUAAAAAAGUGGGUUUGUUCUAAUAGCUAUACUUAACCAUUAAAUGUAAUGGUUAAUAACUUCUACUGCAUGCUCUUCUGGCUGCCCUCUCUCCCUGGAACCAAGUCACAGUGCAGUCAUAAUCCCUUCCCCAAGUCCUUUGGAACAAGUAUAAACUUUCUGACUAUGGGCAAACCAGCCAAUGUGCUUCACACACCUCCUGAUAUGCUGUCAGCCUUGAAGGCGAAGCGAAAACCGAUUGCUUCGUGGCCUAGGCUGAACAUGAUGUAUUUGUUGUGAACAGCGAGUCUUGUGACUAGAAUAAAAAUUUAAGAUUUUUUUUUAAUGCCAUCAGAGUGAUGUUUCAAAGCUUCAUGAUAAGUGGGUUGCGUUUACUCCUUCACUUACCCAAAAUUUGCAUACAAGUAUGUUCCCUACUAAUUUGCUAUCCUUCUCAAUCCGAUCAGACUUCUCUUUCAACUAUUGCCAGAGCAGUGCUUUCUGUCAAUACACAUCCCGAAGAGUAGGGCACAGUGAGUAGAAGAAACUCAGACACUUGCCAGUAUGAUGCUGGAAUUUCUCAUCUUGUUACUUCUUCUCUAGGCCAAUGAACAGUAUAAAGGUAAACCUAAUUUCAGUAUAGGAAUGGAUUGUUGGACAUUAUAAAAUAAUUCAUCUUGGAUCUGUUGUGAUUUCAGCCAAUCUCCAUUAGGUUUCUAGAAGAGGGGGGUCUGAAAUAUGACAGUUUUGAUUCUGGCCUCUUUAGGCACACCAUCGAGGUGGUUGGGUAUAGAAUGCUGUGGUGAGAUCUCAUUUAACUUUGGGCCAGGACUGCACUCAUCAAGAUCAAACAUAUUAGAAUGUAUUAAAGUGGAAAAUAGGUGGCUGGCCUUUUAGUGUGCUUUCCAUUUUCAGGGGAGAGAGUUUAAUUGCUUAUUUACGUAAAAGGUCUAUAUCCCACCCUUUCCAGAAUUUGCCCAAAGUGGCAGAUUGUUUAUACUCAGGCAAAAUUUGUCAAAUGAGCGUCGGUUUGGUAUUGUGGUCUGGAAUCUACACAUUACUAAGCUGUACGGUGCACUUUUUUCCUUUUGCAAGGACAGAAUAGACCUGAAUCAUCGCGGCCAGGGCUACUGUUGAUUGCCAGGGCAGAACCAGAGGAUGGGUUUGAGGGAUUUCAUCUGUUCCCAGUCUGUGUAUGUGGUGGGAGGGAGUCUUGACAGGGUCCGUCAUGGAAUUCACAACAGCCAUACAGGAAAACCAUUUAAUAUAAUCAUGUAGUGUCUUACCCUUGUUUUGCAAUCCUCAAUAUGAAAUCUGCAAGCUGCCUGUUGUUGGUGCCAGUGACUUAGACCUAGUUCUUUGAUGGAAAUGUGGAGAAGUGUAAGCUGAGGAGAGUGGAUUUACCAGCCUUAAAGACUCUAGGACGUGUGUCUUAGCCAAAGUGUGGAUCGCAGGAGACUCAGACAGGACUUCAGCAGCCUGUUGUGUAUGUGGACCAGUCAGCAUAAUUAAAGAAUGACGAGGCAGCGACAGCACAGCACCAGCUUCAUCUUCCAGAAAAGUGAAAGCAUAAGAUACUAUGCUGGUAGUGAGCUUUUGGACAGCUGCUAGUUAAAACUACCUUUCACUGCUGAAAUAUCGAAGAAAGUCUAGCAAGAGUUCUUCACCAGUUGGAGCCUCCCUGAGUCAUAGCUACUUGAGUUGACCCCAAGUCAUAGGUCUAGCGUUUAGACCUGAAAGGAAGGGGAAUAAGAAUAGGUAAGGUUUGUCUCUAACACUUUUCAUGAAUUAAAGAGCAUCCCUUUUCUGGACAAGGUAAGAAUAAUCUCUUUGACUUGCAGGUCAUAGAAGAACUCCCUGCUGGACAAGAUUUGAAUUUCUUAACCUGUUAGAAAAAUGUUGACUUGGCAAGGGAACUGGUAACUCAAUCAUCUGGAACAUGAUGCCUCUUCAAAUGAUUCAGGCAUCGUGAGUGAAAAACAGGACCCCUUUCCCUGCUUUCAUUCUUGUAAAACGGGGACAAGGCCAAGCUAUAUGCAGCUCAUCACUGCCCAACAGAACAUAGUGUGGGGGAUAACUAAUCCUGACCAUCUGAUCUCUGUAAGGCGAAAGACGACGUAGCGCACAAAUAACAGACAGAAAAUGUAAAUGACACCCAAAACGGAUGGCUGUGGUCUCAAACCUGUGCUGUUCAGAUGUUUACAAUAAAGUGCCAUAAUUUGUCAUGCCUCUCUCUUUUAUUAGUUU